ensembl:lncRNA
ACUCCUCUUUGUUAAAGCACUGGGCAUAGACAGCACCAAAGGUUUCUGUACAUGUGGAGGUGAGUCAUACUCAACAACAUGAUGGGUGGGCCCAACACUUCAUUAUGGCUCCUACUAAUCUCAGCUAUUGGAACAGUCUGCACAACUACAAAGAUCAACUUAAUAACAAUGAAUGACAUAGUAAAAACAUAUCAGUGGAGCCAACUGAACAGCACUAUUAACAAUGCCUCACACGAAGCCUGCAACACAACAACACUAAAUAUAGCAAGUUCCAGGAUAUCUAACACUGUGGAGACCCUUACUAACCAACUGUCUUGUGUGAGUGGCAAAAACCAAAGCCUUUCUGAAGAGAAGAUUGGAGGGCUGCAAUACAAUCUCAGACGGAUUAUGGAUUUGAAUUUAAAAGUCUUCAUAUAUUUGGCUGAAAAUGACUCAAAAUCCGAGGUCCUCAAUGUCUUUGGAGUUUUGAACAGUCUCAACCCUGUUAAUGUCCGAAGUGAGACGUUCAUACGACUGUGGUCCAAAAUCCAGCUGGAACCUCUUUUGCCCUACAUUACUGGAGAAUUCAUGACCCUGUUGAGCACAAAAGACUUCAGCUGCAGCGCUUAUCAGGCAUUGAUCAAGACACUAAGUGAUGAUCUGGGAUCCAUUACCGAAGGGCAAAAACUAUUGUUAUACAAUCACAGAAGCACAGACGCUCAAAGCAGCCAAUCUGCCUCAAUAAACACAAAGCAACAACAAUUGAUCUUCACUUACUUCAUCCUACCAUUCCUUUCGAGAAAUGACACAACAGAUCCCGGCUGUGUGUCAAACACCAGUGGAAGCACGGACUGGCUCCAGAGGAACUUUGGCGUAUUUUCAGUUUUUGCAGAACUGUCCGAGUUACAAGUUCUUAAUCCCGGGUUUUCCAGCAUGGAAUCUCUCUCGGCGCU